AUUAAUUAGGGAUUUCGAUUGCAUGCUGAUCCCAAAUUAGGGUUUCUUUAGUUAGGUGGAGUUUAAAGUUAGUUCCUUUUAGCCAUGUUUAAGAAAAUAAUGAAAGGUGGGCACAAGAAGCCCUCUAAAUCCGAAUCCAACGAACCUUCAAGCUACGGUCUUGGUGGCUCCAAUGUUGUCGUUAGCCACGCUUCUCGUGGGGCGCUGGUUCCUUCCUCUCCAGUUACAACAGCCCCUCCUCCUCCUAUAACCUCGGUGACCCCGCUCCCUCUCUUCAGGGACGUUCCCGUCUCGGAAAGGCAAUCUCUGUUCUUGAGGAAGCUCCAGAACUGCUGUUUCCACUUUGAUUUCACUGAUACCACCAAGAACGCGAGAGAGAAGGAGAUCAAGAGGCAGACGCUGCUGGAGCUGGUGGAUUUUAUACAGUCCGGAGCUAGUAAGGUCAUCUCCGAGUCGUGUCAGGAGGAAAUGAUUAAAAUGGUUUCUCUCAAUCUCUUCCGUUGUCUCCCUCCCGCCUCCCACGAGAACACGGGCCAGGAGCCCGCGGAUCCCGAGGAGGAGGAGCCGUAUUUGGAGCCUUCUUGGCCUCAUUUACAGCUGGUCUACGAGCUGCUGCUGAGAUACGUUGUCUCUACUGAUACCGAUACCAAAGUGGCCAAACGGUAUAUCGACCAUUCCUUUGUGUUGAAGCUGCUCGACUUGUUUGACUCCGAGGAUCCGAGAGAGAGGGAGUAUUUGAAAACGAUUCUCCAUAGGAUCUACGGGAAGUUUAUGGUACACAGGCCGUUUAUUAGGAAAGCGAUCAACAACAUUUUCUAUAGGUUUAUCUAUGAGACGGAGAGGCACGGCGGGAUCGGGGAGCUUUUGGAGAUUCUAGGCAGUAUCAUAAACGGGUUUGCGUUGCCUAUGAAGGAGGAGCAUAAGCUGUUUCUCAUCAGGGUGUUGAUACCGUUGCAUAAGCCUAAACCGAUAGCGAUAUAUCAUCAGCAGUUGUCGUAUUGCAUCGUUCAGUUUGUGGAAAAGGAUUAUAAGCUAGCGGAUACGGUGAUCAGGGGGUUGUUGAAGUAUUGGCCUGUGACGAACUGCACCAAGGAGAAUCUCUUCCUUCAGGAACUUGAAGAAGUUCUUGAGGCAACACAGCCUGUUGAGUUCCAGCGUUGUAUGGUUCCGUUGUUCCAACAGAUUGCUCGAUGCCUCAAUAGCUCUCACUUUCAGGUUAGUAGUCUUGUUAUACACAUCACCUUAAAGCUGGAUAUUUUGUUUCUUUAGCUAGUUAUGUUUCGAAAUGAAUUUAGCAUAUGGAGGUAAUGAAUUCGAGAUAUUGUGUGCUAGUGUCCUCUAUGAGUAUCACCUUCAAGUUAACUUGGGUGUGAUUCUUUCACGUGAAAAGAGUAUGCAACUUUAGUGCAUCACAGAAUCUAUGUUGCAAUUGUCUUUAUAUUGUUUGCUUUUUCUCCUUUUAUCCCUUUCAAUUCACAAAAUGAUCAUGAUAAUGCUACACUCAUUUAGUUGAUGGGAUUAUCUCAUGUUGUUGAUAGAUACUACUCUUGAAAAUGGUCCUUGGAUUCUUAGACCAUCUUUAUUUACCUAAACCAUACCAACUCGCUGAGUCCAUUGGUACUAUUGCGUUUGCCAUGGAUUUCAUUGCACAAUGCUUUUAACAAGAGAAUAGCUCGGAAAAGAAGAUGUAAGGAUCUUUCUCUGUGUUGUAUCCAUUUGUGUUUUAGACUGGAGCAGGUUUGAUCUCAUUGGUUCUAAUCACAAGUCUGUAAUUAAUUUCAUUGGAUGCUAGCAAUUACACAAAAUUUCCUGUUAAAUCUUUUUGCAAUAGCUCAAACUUUGCAAUUCUACGUGGGUUUUGUGCCUUGUACUUACAUUCAUAUCUCAUAAAAAUCUUAUAAAAGGUUGCAGAACGAGCAUUGUUCCUGUGGAACAAUGAGCACAUAGUGGGUCUAAUCGCGCAGAACCGAAGCGUAAUCCUUCCAAUAAUAUACCCCGCACUGGAGAAGAACAUCCAGUCUCACUGGAACCAAGCAGUUCAUGGUCUAACCGCAAAUAUCAAGAAGAUGUUCAUGGAGAUGGAUCCUAAACUCUUCGAAGAAUGCCGGAGACAGUACGAAGAGAAACAAGCCAAGUCCAAAGAAGUUGAAGAACAACGCCAGUUUACAUGGAAGAGAUUAGCUGAAGCAGCAGCAGAGCGAGACGGAGUUGGAGGAGAAGAUUAUAUGAUCACUUCCUAGAUCAGUAACAAAAAUGGUAUUACUCUCACUUUUUUUUUUUGGUUCUCUCUCAAAUUAAUCAAAAUCGUUUACUAUUAAAAUCUUUCUUCCAAUGUAUAAACUUUCGAUUUGUUUUUUGUUGUGAGAAUCAUCUAAUCUGAUUCUGGUUGCUCAGAGAAUAGUAGAGCGAAGUGAGCCAAUCACUAUCAGAGAAUGUGUUUUGUCUGUAUGGAUCGGGCUUUAGUACUAAGAAUGUGUUUUAUGAUCUUCUGUCCAACUUAUUUUUUCUAUGGAAAUUUUGUGGAAACUUUAUGUUAUAUAAAAGCAGGCAAUGAUCUUCAGUGUGGUGGAUAUCAUGAGAGAUUGGAAAAUCGGAACACUUUUAACUAAAACCAUUCAUCUCUUGUUAAGAAGAAAAUGUCUAAUUUGUUUUUGUUGUAAUAAUUUUCUUAUUAACUAAGUAAUCGCCGCAAUCUAACUUAGAUUUUAUUGGUUUUAAUUGGUGACACGUAGUAGAGUUAAUGUUUUUGUUGUAAUAAUUUUCUUAUUAACUAAGUAAUCGCCGCAAUUUAACUUAGAUUUUAUUGGUUUUAAUUGGUGACACGUAGUAGAGUUAACGUUUUUGUUGUAAUAAUUUUCUUAUUAACUAAGUAAUAGCCGCAAUCUAACUUAGAUUUUAUUGGUUUUAAUUAGUGACACGUAGUAGAGUUAACCUUUUUGUUGUAAUAAUUUUCUUAUUAACUAAGUAUCCGCCGCAGUUUAACUUAGCUUUUAUUGGUUUUGAUUGGAAAGUCGACGUUUUUGCUGUAAUAAUUUUUUUACUAACUAAGUAUCCACCGCAAUUUAACUUAGCUUUUAUUAGUUUUGAUUAGUGACACUUAGUAGAAUCGACAUUUUUGUUAUAAUAAUUUUUUAUUAACUAAAUGAUCGCCGCAAUUAACUUAAGUUUUACUGGUUUUAAUUGGUGACACGUAGUAGAGUCAACCGUAGAUGGUUUCAAUAUUAGUAAGUGUUUUUGCAUCAUGUGCAGAAAUAACAGUUUUAAAAUGUAAAUGAUAUUUAAAAAUAUUUUUUGUUAAAUUUUUAUUAUUAUUUGUAGAAGUUAAGAUAAAAAUAUUUUUUAUAAAAAUUUAUAUUCAAUCAUACAUAUAUAUAUAAUUAUAAUAUUGAGAAUUUUUUAUUUAUCUAUUUCUUUUGUUAGAUAUAUUGGGUCGACCAUUUUCAAACGGAAAGCCGAUUGGGCAGAGUACAAAGCGAUGUUUUACAACCUAGAUACGUUUUACAUUAACAUAAUCCGUUUUCUUUUGCUGUGAAUGUAAAUUAUAUGUCCAUGAGUAUAAUGUUCGGCUGUGCACUGAUUUUAAUUAAAAAAAAUCUUGACAAAAAUAAGAAAUUAUAUACUAUUAUUUUUGAGAAUCAGACGCAUUAUAGAAAACUCACAUUUCUAUUUUAAACUGUGUUUUCUGUUUAAUAUAUUCUUCUGCCAACUUUCUGCUUGUCACACUGUUUUGUUUCGCGCAAAAACUAAUCUAGAUUACGGUUAGUAAUUAAGUACUAAUAAUUAAUUAUUAAAAAAAAAAAGCGAUUUUUUGGGUGCUGUAUUCGAUUUGAUUCGAGUCCCUUUUCUUCUUUAGCCAUCAUCUCUCUCCGCUCUCUCUCUCUCUCUCUCUCGCUCUCUUCUUCCUUAUUUGUUCGCCGGUAAAUCACAGCCGUCCGAUUAACCAGCGUAUACUCGCGCGACAAGAUCUCUUAGAUCACACCAAUGGUCUGAUUUUCACCGCCUCAGAUCUCCGACAACACUCCGGUAACUAUCUCCACCUCUUGUUUCCAUCUCGUGAGAUUGGGAAAAUGAGGGAGCUUGAUCUAAUCGAGUCAUAGUGGAAGAAUAAGAAGAAGAAGGCUCUCUUUGAAAAAAAUCCGAGGUUUUGGAAUUUGAAUUUGAUUAAUUAGGGAUUUCGAUUGCAUGCUGAUCCCAAAUUAGGGUUUCUUUAGUUAGGUGGAGUUUAAAGUUAGUUCCUUUUAGCCAUGUUUAAGAAAAUAAUGAAAGGUGGGCACAAGAAGCCCUCUAAAUCCGAAUCCAACGAACCUUCAAGCUACGGUCUUGGUGGCUCCAAUGUUGUCGUUAGCCACGCUUCUCGUGGGGCGCUGGUUCCUUCCUCUCCAGUUACAACAGCCCCUCCUCCUCCUAUAACCUCGGUGACCCCGCUCCCUCUCUUCAGGGACGUUCCCGUCUCGGAAAGGCAAUCUCUGUUCUUGAGGAAGCUCCAGAACUGCUGUUUCCACUUUGAUUUCACUGAUACCACCAAGAACGCGAGAGAGAAGGAGAUCAAGAG
rnacentral:lncRNA from 1 species